CAAAUUAAAGCUUGUAGAGCGUUUUAUUUACAUUAAAAAGAAUACUUGGAUUUUAGGAAGUAUAAUUUGA
rnacentral:tRNA from 1 species